rnacentral:rRNA from 1 species
AUACGGAGGAUCCGAGCGUUAUCCGGAUUUAUUGGGUUUAAAGGGUGCGCAGGCGGGAGAUUAAGUCGGCGGUGAAAUUUUGCAGCUCAACUGGAAAAGGGCCUUCGAAACCGGUUUCCUUUAGGGUAGAUGAAGUAGGCGGGAUUUGUGGUGUAGCGGUGAAAUGCAUAGAUAUCACGAGGAACUCCGAUUGCGCAGGCAGCUUACUAAACUACUACUGACGCUCAGGCACGAAGGCGUGGGGAUCAAACAGGAUUAGACACCCUGGUAGUCCACGCAGUAAACGAUGAUUACUAGCUGUUUGCAAUACAAUGUAAGCGGCUGAGCGAAAGCGUUAAGUAAUCCACCUGGGGAGUACGUUCGCAAGAAUGAAACUCAAAGGAAUUGGCGGGG